AUGAACAAAUGUUGUUUCUUUCAUCUUAUUGUAAAUAUAUAUUACAGGAUAGAGUAUUCCCUCAAUAUGCUAGAAUGGAUUUCUGCACUAAAUCAUGUUGCCUCUUGAGGCAAAAUCCUUGGCCAUUGUUGAUGUUAAAGUUCGAAUUAUUGGGUGUCGUUUAGCAUCAAGAACUUUACAAGUAUAGGAGUCUCGCAUCAAGUGCUUGAGAAAUUGCCUAACGAACUUGGAAGUUUAGAAUGUUUAAAAGAAUUACUAAUUGAAGGCACAAUCAUAAAUCAUCUUCCAGAGUAUUUUUCUGUUGAAAGGGUUGUUUAUUAUUGGGUCGAGAGAGCUUCUUCAGUCAUGUGGUUUUACAUCAGCGAUACGAACCCAAGAACACGAAACGUCGUGCUACGUAGUGCUGGGAUGAUUCUAAGAAGCUCAAAAGAUCUGGAAGAGACAGUUCACAAAGAACUGUUGUAACAGGGUUAUUACCAUUUAUUUGGCAAUGAUCAUGAUGCCAUUGUUACUGGAUUUAUGGCUGCUGGAGAAGCACCAUGUGCCAGCGUUCAUGAUACCAAUCGGCACUGUUUCCAACUGGUUUCUAUUGAAUCAACUCACAUUCUAAUUUAGGUUGCAAAUCACUUCAAAUCAUGAUUACAUGAGAAUUUGUUACUAAGUUAUGAUUAUCCAAUCAUCUGAACAACCAAAAAUUCAAUUAAGUUCCAUAAAAACAUCUUAUCAAUGCUCUGUUAAACUUAGAUCAUCAACAUUUGAGCAUCAUUUUGACUUAGUGAAUCACUCUCAUGAUA